rnacentral:rRNA from 1 species
UCCAGACUCCUACGGGAGGCAGCAGUGGGGGAUAUUGCACAAUGGGGGGAACCCUGAUGCAGCGACGCCGCGUGGGUGAAGGAGCGUUUCGGCGCGUAAAGCCCUAUCGGCAGGGAAGAAGGAGGACGGUACCUGACUAAGAAGCCCCGGCUAACUACGUGCCAGCAGCCGCGGUAAUACGUAGGGGGCAAGCGUUAUCCGGAUUUACUGGGUGUAAAGGGGGCGCAGACGGCAGCGCAAGCCAGGAGUGAAAGCCCGGGGCCCAACCCCGGGACUGCUCUUGGAACUGCGCGGCUGGAGUGCAGGAGGGGCAGGCGGAAUUCCUGGUGUAGCGGUGAAAUGCGUAGAUAUCAGGAGGAACACCGGUGGCGAAGGCGGCCUGCUGGACUGCGACUGACGUUGAGGCCCGAAAGCGUGGGGAGCAAACAGGAUUAGAUACCCGAGUACC